CGGGUGUAGUUCAGUGGUAGAAUGUCAGCCUUCCAAGCUGAAUAUGUGGGUUCGAUUCCCAUCACCC
rnacentral:tRNA from 1 species